UGAGGUGUAGCCUGGUAGUAGAGCACUCACCUAGCAUGUCUGAGGCCCUGGGUUUGAUUCCCAGCACUGUAU
rfam:Ictidomys tridecemlineatus contig128882, whole genome shotgun sequence.